GGCCGAACACAAUUGCCGUGCUUUGGACAGACAUGCGGUUCAUCUCACCAUGCUCAAUCACCCUGUGGGACAGAUGGUUACUUGGCAAUGGAGAUUUUUCCGGGACGUCUUCUGCUUCAUCCUCUGAGUUAUGGCCGUGUUCAUGCUGUCAAAGGUUUCCAUAAUCCUGGACCAGGCCGUAUCCUGAGCAGCU